CGCGGAGUAGAGCAGUCUGGUAGCUCGUCGGGCUCAUAACCCGAAGGUCGUUGGUUCAAAUCCAGCCUCCGCAACCA
rnacentral:tRNA from 3 species